GACGAACGCUGGCGGCGUGCUUAACACAUGCAAGUCGAACGGAAAGGCCCUGCUUUUGUGGGGUGCUCGAGUGGCGAACGGGUGAGUAACACGUGAGUAACCUGCCCUUGACUUUGGGAUAACUUCAGGAAACUGGGGCUAAUACCGGAUAGGAGCUCCUGCUGCAUGGUGGGGGUUGGAAAGUUUCGGCGGUUGGGGAUGGACUCGCGGCUUAUCAGCUUGUUGGUGGGGUAGUGGCUUACCAAGGCUUUGACGGGUAGCCGGCCUGAGAGGGUGACCGGCCACAUUGGGACUGAGAUACGGCCCAGACUCCUACGGGAGGCAGCAGUGGGGAAUAUUGCUCAAUGGGCGGAAGCCUGAUGCAGCAACGCCGCGUGCGGGAUGACGGCCUUCGGGUUGUAAACCGCUUUCGCCUGUGGCGAAGCGUGAGUGACGGUAAUGGGUAAAGAAGCACCGGCUAACUACGUG
rnacentral:rRNA from 1 species